UGGUUAAAGGUCAUGAGACUUAGAAAUCAUGGAGUUUCUAAACAUCACAUUUAAGGGAAAAAGUUUGGAGGUGUUACAAGAAAUUUCUUAGAACUAGAAAUAAUCUUUGCACCCUAGCGAACAACUUUGUUUCUAAACUUUUAUCUCCCUUUUGUAGGCUAGUAUGACUCGAGGAAGAUCUUUCGUAGAAAGACCCAAUUCUUAGGACGCUCCAACUCGGGCAGAGUUCAUUAAAUUAUUUUAGGAAAUUAAGGGUUUGACUGAUGUUGUGGGCUAGGACUUUGCCCAUAACGCGGGCCAACUGCCUCUUGUAAACGACCAUCGUCCUAAUGAUCGUGCUCUCCUCCUAUAAUAUUUUAGAGUUUAGAAGACUUAGCCUUCUUUAUUUCGAUGGUGUACCAAACCCCAUGGUCCUCGAAGCAUGGAUCAUGCAGAUGGAAAAGAGUUUCUUCAUUCUCAAGCUCAUAGAAGAGCAAAAGGUUCCCCUUGCUGCUUUUAUGUUUUAGGGAGAAGUCGAGAAUUGGUGGUAUCUUAAGAAGGACACCCUGCCACACCGACCACUUAGGACUGGUUUAUCGAUGCCUUUCUCAAGAGCUUUUUUCUAGUCUACAUUAGAGCGAGAAAAGAAGAAGAAUUUUGACG
rnacentral:lncRNA from 1 species